rnacentral:rRNA from 1 species
CAGCCGCCGCGGUAAUACGUAGGGUGCGAGCGUUAAUCGGAAUUACUGGGCGUAAAGCGUGCGCAGGCGGUUUUGUAAGACAGGCGUGAAAUCCCCGGGCUCAACCUGGGAAUGGCGCUUGUGACUGCAAAGCUAGAGUGCGGCAGAGGGGGAUGGAAUUCCGCGUGUAGCAGUGAAAUGCGUAGAUAUGCGGAGGAACACCGAUGGCGAAGGCAAUCCCCUGGGCCUGCACUGACGCUCAUGCACGAAAGCAUGGGGAGCAAACAGGAUUAGAUACCCCUGUAGUCCCUGUCUCUUAUAC